CGGUUUCUUGUUUCCCAGGCUGGGAAGGCUCUGGCAAGGGAGAGGGAAGGAGUAGGAGUUUGUGAGUGUGAACAUUUAAGGGUUUUGAACAAGAAAAAAAAAUCUCAUGGAUAGGCAAGCACAUUCUUCCAAAAGACAGUCUAAGCUACAGUGAGGACUCUGUAGUCCCUAGUGUACAAUAAAACCUGAGGGACAACCAAACACCUAGAUGGAAAAGGGCAUGCACUGGACCAAGGAGACAGUACCACAAAUGCUUCCACACAGUUCUGCAAGAGAAGAGUGAGCUAGAAUGGCGGGCAUUGUGAGCAGAGAAAGAAAGAAUCCAUGUGGAUGGUGACCAUCAGCUUGUUUUCUAUAAAAAGCUGCUACAAGUAUGGAUUCAGGAAGCCUUUGGUAUCUGGAGAUAGAGGAAGAUCAGCAGAAUUCCAGCAUCCCUGGAAAGUCAUUGGAUGGCAAAGGAUGAAAAAUGGCCAGGAGACUUCAAAGGACAUGCACCGCUGUCCUGUAUUACAUCCAAAAUGUUUGAGGACAUUCAGAGCAGCACUACACCUCUACCUUGAUACAACGUUGUC